GAUUCACAAGGGCCCAAAAGCCCAAAUCCCUUUUGUGGCCGGCCAUUUGAUAUGAAUUAGGGUUUUUUGGUUCUUUAGGUCACUUAAAGAAGUGACUAUAUAAAGAACUUUAUAGCCAAAAUUCAUUAAGGGUUUCUUUUGGAGAAAAUUGGAGAGAACAUGUCUCUCCCUUUCUCUCUAUAGAGGCCGGCCCCCUUGGAGGGAUUAGCUAGUAAUCUUUCUCCUCCAAGGUCACUCAUUUCUUCAUCAAUCUUACCUUGGUGUGGAGACUUAGAGGUUCUCUAUUUUGGGAACUUGGAGAACCAUUUCAUCCAUCCAAAUCCAUAGAUCUAAGAUGCAAGGAAUGAAGGCCCUCUCUUUGGGUGAUUAGCCUUUGCGCAAAGAGGAAUCUACAAAGGUAUAAUUUCUCAACUCACUUUGAUAUGAGUUGAGUCUUGGUUCACCAAUCUACUAGGCUUUGAAUUUCAUGGUUAAUGUUUUGUUUUUAAGUGCAUGCAAGCAUGAUUCCGCCUUUUAAUUGUUAAUUGCAUGCUAUAGAUGUUGCUUAAAUGAACAUGUUUUUCACAAAUCAUCCUUCAAGUGGUAUCAGAGCCUAGGUCUAGUAGUUGGUGAAUCCUUUUGGGUUUUGUAGUUUAUAGUUUGUGAUUUAAAAGUUGUAAUAUGUUACAAGCUUUAUUCUUGUUUCUUUGAAUGUAAAUUUUGUUGGAAAAUUUGCCAUCUCAAAUGUUGUAGAUGUAGUUCAUAUGAGCAUGAAUAUUGGAGCUAAAAUUUGGUGCCAUGUUUUUGGGACUUUUCGGCCAAAUCCAAAGGGUGGAUUUUUGGGUUCUUGUUUGACUUGUUAAAAGUGUUUUCAAGUGACUUUUGGAACCCCUAUGUACCCUAGUAUGGUUAUAUGUCAUUUCCCUUAAGUUUGAAUGGUUUUGGGAUGUUUUUGGAUGAAAAAUGUUCAUGGAAAUUUUUUGGGUUUUUCAUGAAUGUUCUUCAUUGUUCAUGACAUUUUUGCCAAGAACAAAAAGUUUUGUGUUUUGAUUUAUUUGAUAAAGUUUAUGUUUUAUGAAUUUUCAAAUGUUUAAAUGUGUUAGAUAUUUAUUUAGAAAGGUGUAAGAAAUAUUGGUGGGUGUGUAAGGAUUAAUUCCCUUUCACACACACCACUUGCAUGACAUUUAUGUCAUGCACCACUUGCAUGCUUUAUGUCUAAAUCUACAAAUCAACACACACAUCACUCCUUUCCCUCUCUAAAACCGGCCACUCCCUCAAUGGGAGUACUUUUGGGGCUUUUAUGCAAUUACAUAAAGUUUUGAUACUUUUGUGUAUUUGCACUUUGGCCCAAAAGUUUACGUUUUUACGUUUGGUCCAAAAACGCUAAAGGACAAAUUGUUUUGCUCCUUUAAUGAAGUUUUUGCAUUGUUUAAAUUUUGGGUUCUAGUUGUAAUUACAUGAAGUAGUGGACUUUUGUGUUUUUACAAAGUGACCCCAAAAGUUUAUGUUUUUGCAAUAUAGCCCAAAGGUUGUGGUAAUUGCAUAUUGGCCCAAAUUAGGUUGAGAACAAAAUUGUUUUGUCUCUUUAAAUGAGAAUUGGAUUUUCAUUUCAUUUAGCUCCAAAUCAAUUCUAUGAAUACAAAAAACCAAAUGAAAAUGUUGCAUUCAAAUUUAAUUGGUUAAAGCGUUAAUUGAUUAAAGAAAGGGUGAUUAUGAACCUAAGCCUAAUAUAAUUGAGCUAUGUGAAAGGCCGUUUCAAAUUUGUUUGAACCAUGGGAAUGUGUAGAUUAGAUUUUGGUUGUAAUUUGAUUUGAUCAAAUGUUGUAAAAGACCAUAAGCUCUUCUUUACUUUAAAGUAAUUUAUUUUGAUCAAUUGUUGUAAAAGAGCAUAAGCUCUUCUUUACUUUAAAGUACUCCUUUUCUUGUUUUAUUUGAUAUGCAUGAAAUUGGAGUAGUUGGGUCCAACGCCCCUAGGAACAACACGCCUUAAUAUGAUUAAACGCGUAACUAAAAUCAAUCACCAUCCCUAGACCGAGAUUCAACACAAGGCUCGUGUUGGAUCUAAUUAAAAGGUUCAUAGUCAUCCUAAGGCCCUAAGGCAACUAUAUAGUCCAUCAAUGAAUGCAAACCUUAUGUUAGUAGUAUCAUAUACUCUUGCUUUAAAAAAAACUGUUUUAUAAGCAUAGUGGGAGUAUUAUAUACAACUAAAACAAUCAAAUGGACCAAUAGUUGUAAUAAGACCAAAAUUGUUUUAAUAAGAUUAAAAUGUAUGUUUAUAUAUGAUGAGACCUAAAACCCUUAACCAAACCAUUAUUAAGUUGACAAGCGUGAGAGUGCUUUGAACACUCUUUCGUGGCCUUCCACCGUGGUAGGCUCCAAUCGUUUAUGACUUGUACACCGCCUUCACCCUAUCAUGGGGGAGUGCAAAGUGCAUGCUUAUACUCAGGAGGAGUUUAUUUAAAACAUUUGAUGAGGUUAAGGUAGGCAACGAGUGUGGCCAACAUCGUAUCAUCGUGAGGUCAUACUUGAACCCCUAUCUAAACCGGCAUGGUGGGAAAAAACUUAACUAAGAGAAAUGGUGCCAACAUCGUAUCAUCGUGAGGCAUUGUUUUCUAGAGGCCAAAAAGAUGGGUAAUCACAAGAGGUUGUUGUGAAUGAGUAAGCGUACUCUCUCAUUAUUAUUAAUGCUAGCCAACAUCAUAUCAUUGUGAGGUGGGCUUGGUAGUAGUGAGUCUCCCAUACCCUACUAAGAGUUACCUCCAAAACUCUCGAAUUCCAAUGAGGGAUAUGGAAUUUGCCAAAAAUAGUGGGUGGUGCUAUUUGAUUUAAAGACCCGGAUCAAAUGGCUUAAAAUCAAUCAAUUUAUAUUCGUUAUGUAUUUAUUUACCAAUAUAUUUGCAAACGCUAUCCAAAACUUGACAAAGAAAAGCCGAAUGCUUUAGUUUCCGGACUUGGUACCACAAUCCCAAAGAUUGUCUUAAAUGGAUUAUAUAUGUACCUAAGUAGUCUAAUCCUCACAAUCUUCCUAUUGAUAAUGUACCAUUGGAAGAAAAUGUUAGAUAAGUUUAUCAUAAGGAGGACAACACUUUUAAUGUCAUAAUUCUUCAAUUACAAAUUGUUGUAUGAAGAAAUAAGAGUUGCUUUGAACAACCCUUAACUAACGCAAACAUUAGUGCUUGUUUCUUUGUUACAUGAACAAGGAACUUAAGAAGAAAGCACAAAGGCAUGGACACUUUAUGUGCCAUGAUUCUUCACUUACAAAUUGUUGUAUGAAGAAAUGAGAGUUGCCUUGAAUAACUCUUGAAAGUUUGUAAUUAUGUUUAGAACAUAAUGGUUGGUUGACAAAAAUAGUCCAUCAACAUGGACUUAUGCUGAUUUUGAAUCAUUGAGUGUUGAAGUGUUAAACCACUUCAAGAGACAGAAACUAGGCUAGGACUUCACCUUUGAGUCCCUAUCCAAAUGGUUCACUAAGUUUAUUGUAAACUAUAUAAUGAACAAUAACCACACGCUCUCCAAAUCGUUUGAUGUGUAUAACACAAUUGAAAUAAGUUUCAAGAGAGAUAGUGGGAGUUUAGGGACCAUGACUAUUGUAGUCAAAGGAGAAGUCAAAUGAAGAAAGCGAAAUAAACUCCAAGCGAACAAACUUUCUUUAUGAAAGGAUGGACAUUGGAAGGGGUAUUUGCAAGAAAUGUCUUGCAAGUGUCAAGAACACACCUUUCGAAGGUGUUGUAAAUUGUUCUUGAAUAGUUCAAAACAGUUGGUUCUUCUACUUGAAUGCUUGAUUCCGUAUUAGUAACUAUGUUUUACAAUCGUUAUAAAAGUGUGACUAAUAAAAAGUAGAAGAUAUAUGAGAGAAGAAAAAGGUGCUUCACAUUCGGAACGUGAAUAAAAUAAAGAUAUCUACGAAAGCAGAUAGUACUUACUUCCUCAUUUGAACUACCAAAGAAAUUGGAAAAACCAAAGAUUGUCUUUACAUUCCAAUUUUAAGGAAUUUAAUUCCGUCACUAUAGUAGAGAUGUAUGAAUGUUUUGUUUGACAAAACAUUGUUCUUUAUUAAUCAAUGAUUGGAUUAUAGUAAUCUAAUUGAUUGUCUCUAUAGUAGAGAUGAUAUGGUAGUGUUAACUGUUUAGAAUACAAUGAUGCUUAAAACCCAAAAGGUUACAAGAUAGUGACUAAUCCCAACUGAGUUGUGAUACCUCUAAAAACAUAAAUUACGAGUUGGUCAUAGAUGGAUGCUCUGGAUCGUUAGAUCCGGAUCCAAUACCUUCUUGUUAAAAUUGUAUAGAGGCAAAAUGUUUGAAUCUUUAUUCUUUUGGAAAGAAUAAAGAAUCACAAAGUUGUUGAGGUUAAUUCACUUAGAUGUUAGUGGCACUUAUGCACAACAUAAUACUACUCAUGUUGUAUGACAUUCACCGAAGAUCACCCUCGGUUGGACUAUAGUUUAUUUUAAAUAACACAAGUCCGAAUACUUUGCAAAAGGUUUCAAAGAAUUCAAGAAAUGUAAGUUGAUGAGUAAGACGUCUAAAGUAUUUACAUCCUUAGAAUUGAUCCAAGGAAUGGUAACACUUUAGAAUAGUUUUCUUGAAAUAUAUCAAGGAAAGAAGCAUCAUAUGAUAAUGGAUUUCUCCAGAAGGAGAAGAACGAACUUGAAUAAGAUUUAGUUCAUUGGAUAUUAUCAAUUACCCAUAUAUAGGAUAUAUACUUCUAAGACAAUAUGAUUGUCAAUUAGAAGAUCUUCCAAAAUUUUCAUGACUCCAUAGGAUGUAGUUGGAAAGAAAGACAAAUCUUAAUCAUGUUAAGAUUUGGGGUUGUGUGCUAAUAAGCAAUAUUUGUUUGAAAAGAAUCUUGUGGGAUAUCCUUAAAUUAACUUUUGGAUAUCGCUUCUAUAAACCAACUAACAAAUGUUGUUUUGUUGGGUAGUUCAUUGUAAUCCUACAAUGUGAUUUGCCUAAGAGCAAAUGAACGAGAGAUAGAACUCAAAGAAUGGGUUCUUUGAGAGACAAGAUGAUAAUCAACAAAUAUAACAACUAGUUCCUAUACCACAAGCUCCAAGGUAGUCAAGAAGGAUUUAUAAACCAUCUCAGUUGAAUGGUUUGAACUUUAUGACUAUGUCAAAGAGUUGCACCUCUUAAUUCGAAGAAAUAAGAAUGAAAAUCCUUAUGACUACAUUGAGUGUAUAUAUGAUAUAUACUCAAGGAAAUGGUAAAGUACCAUUUGACCCGAAAUAAUGAAACCUUCAUAAGCUAAUUGGUAGCUUAAGGUAACUACAAUAAAAAAGAAUGGUUGACUUUGAAGAAACCAUCUUUGACGCAGUCUUGGUUUCAAUUAAUUCGAGGAUAGCUAGCUACAACUAAUUGGUGAUUCAAUGUUUGGACAUAAUAUGGGUUUCCAAAACCAUUAUUAAGAUGGUCUUAAUAAUAUAUGUCUAAAACUAUGAAUCACAAGACAUGUAAGUUGUAGAGAUCCAUCCAUCAUGAAUCUAAGCAAGCUAGUGGGAGCUAUGAGCAUCUUAUGAGAAAAGGAUCAAAUCAUUUGAUUUUGUCAUAAAGAUAUAAAUGAAUCUUUUGUUUACUAGGUUUACAAAAGAUUAGUGGGAGUUAAUCAUGUUCCUAAAAUUUAAAUAUAUAUUUGAUAUAUUAAUUUUGGAAAUGAAAAGAAUACUUCUUCGUUAAAGUUAUGACUUUAAAACAUUAUAUGAAGAUAGAAUGUAUAUGGGAGACAUAAUCUAUAUACAUGGGAUGGAAAUCUAUAUUGAUAGAUUUUAGGAUAUAAUUGGAUUAUAUCAAGCCCUAAUAAUAGACAAGAGAUGCUAGGAAGUUUCUCAUAUGAUGAUAAACUUCAAUUAGAAGGACGACUCUAGUGAGACUAGCAAGUUGCCCUUCUCAAAGGGAACAUACCCUUUGACUCCCAAAGAAAUAAUGCGUAAAUAGAAUCCUUUAUGCAUACGCAUAGAGGUGAUUUAUGUAUUUCAUAUUAUAUGAAAAACAUUGAUAUGAGUUGUACCUAGAAAGGUACAAGACGAUAUCAGUGCAAGCCCAGGAUCAGAACCACGGCAACUGUCAAGUGAGUCCUUAAGUAUUUAAGAAAUACUAAAGGAUAGAUUCCUCAAAGAAUGAGGAAGAAUUAAAGUAACGUAAUGGAAUCGUAAAUGUAUUAGAUUAUGAAUCUAAUCCAUCAUUGGAUAUUUCUUCAUUAUGAAUGAAGAGAUAAUCAGAUAUCUCUUUAUUAUGACUAAAGAGAUAUUUGGAUUGAAACAUUAAAAGUAAUGACUUUAGUGUGUUCCAUUAUGAAUGCAAAAUAUAUUGCCAUGCCAUAUAGAAGCUUACAACAAUGUUGUUUGGAUGGGAAAGUUCAUUUAUGAACUCUCUAUUCGGUUCCAACCAGAAAGUGUCUCUAGUGUACCGACACUACGAGACUAAUGGGGCGAUAGCUCAAGCCAGGGAAUCAAGGUCUCAUCAAGAUCCGAACUCAAAUGAGAGACUGAACCACAUGAUUAAGAAUCAUGUAUAAUGGUGACGUCGUUAUUCUCAAGGUUGCUUCUAUGGAUAACAUAUAGAUAUCCAUUGUCUAGGCCUACUAUUCAACCAUUUAUGAAAUGACUACAGAAGAGGUAUCAUCACUGAUGAUCAAGCUGAUUGGCUCUAGUGCAAGUGGGAGAUUGUAAGAAAUGGUGCCCUAAAACCAAUCAUAUGAUGAUACUUUACGAACAUUUCACAAGUUAAACUAAUGUAGUGUAAAUAUAAAGGGCAAAGAUUAUUGUUUUAAGCCGUCUCAUAUAAAUGUUAUAUGCUUAAACGAUAAGUCCAAGGAAUAUGUGAUUGGGAGAAUGAAAUCUAAAGAAGUUAGAUUCAUGAGACCAUUCUUUCGUAUACAUAUCCUAAACGUUCCUGAUCAUAGGAUUGCCAAUUGGGCAUUGACAGUCCGUUAAGAUCAGUACGUGCUGUGUCUUAUCUCAGGGAGAGUGACUAGUCUCGAGUCAUUGGUGUGUGUGACAUCAAGACAAGUACGUAGGUGCUCAAUAGAGAAUGAGUUCACUGAACACGAUCAACGAAGAGUUCUCAUAUUCAUGUCACAUGAGAAUUCAUGAUUGGGAUAAUGUAAAGUAGUCCUUUGACCUGAGGCAUCAUAGUUGUCUUGUGGUUAAGUCCUUGAUCUUUGAUUAUGUCAAAAGUCACUCCAAAAGGAGAGUGUCCAUGGCAUAGUUGGGGUUAAGCCACUUAGCCAUGGAGGCAAGUGAAUGCGCAACAAGGGAUCUCUAACCUUCAAACUGUUUGAGGGAGAAUACUCUAUGAUAUGAUUAAGAAUCUCUGGCCAGAGUAUGAAUGAGAUUUAGGAAGUUGUUCCAAAUCACAUUCAAGGUAAUCAUAUAAGCACACGAAUCACAUUGGAUAGUAGACAUGA
rnacentral:lncRNA from 1 species